rnacentral:lncRNA from 1 species
AAAGCCUUACUUUGAGUGUAACUUGAAAUUCAUAUUUACAACCACUAUGAAAAUCAACGCGCGCUGCCACCGCAGCUGCCAGAGCCAGCGCCUGGGGGGCCCCGAGUCGCGACACCGCGCCAGCGAGGAUGUGCGCAGCGACUUCCAGCGCAGGGUGCCCUACAACUACCUGCAGCGGGCCUACCUCAAGCUCCGUCUUUACAAUAACCUUGGCUGGUGUCCUCUCUCGCUACCAAUCAUUAUGACACUGCUGGCAAAAUUAUGUCCACUGGGCAAGCUUGACCUUUUAGAGGAAGCAGUGCAGGCAGCACACACGUUUUUCAUGGCCAACCCUGAGCACAUGGAAAUUCAGCAGAGCAUUGAGAAUUAUAGGACCAUGGCUGGCGGGGAAUCAUUCCAGCUGGUAGACCGAGAGGCCAGACCACACUUGGAAAGCUACAGUGCAGCUCUGAAACAUUAUGAGGCCGAUGAUUUUGAAGUGGCUGUCAAGUACUUCGAAAAGGCUUUGAGAGACUAUUUCAGUGAAGAUACGGAGUGCCGGAUCCUAUGUGAGGGGCCUCAGAGAUUUGAAGAGUACGACUACUUACGGUAUAAAGCCGGUCUCUAUGAAACCAUUGCAGAUCACUACAUGCAGGUGCUGGUUUGUCAGCAUGAGUGCGUGAGGGAGCUCGCCACUCGCCCCGGCCGCCUCUCACCCAUUGAGAACUUCCUUCCUCUGCAUUACGACUACCUACAGUUCGCCUACUACCAAGUUGGUGAUUAUGUAAAAGCUUUGGAAUGUGCCAAGGCCUACCUCCUCUUCCAUCCUGAUGAUGUGGAUGUGCUGGACAAUGUAGAUUACUAUGAAAGUCUGAUGGAGGCUGGAAUGGACUCAGCAUCUGUUGAGGCUAGAGAGGAUGCGGCAAUGUUUGUGAAACGUCAUAAACUUGAAGCUGAACUAAUAAAAUCAGCUGCAGAGGGUCUUGGAUUCUCAUACACUGAACCAAAUUAUUGGAUCAGAUAUGGAGGACGACAAGAUGAGAAUCGGUAAGUCUUGUAUUCGCAUUUUUUUGCGCCUUUUCAUUGAAAAGAAAUACAGAACAUAUUAUAAGGAACUUAGCCGUGUGACACUGGUAAACUACACACACACACACACACACACACACUCACAAACAGUUUUGUGCUACAAAUUAAGAGAC